rnacentral:rRNA from 1 species
ACUAAGUCCUCAUGGCCUUUAUGCCCAGGGCUACACACGUGCUACAAUGGGUGGUACAAAGAGAUGCAAUCUCGCAAGAGCAAGCAAACCUCAAAAAGCCAUCCUCAGUUCGGAUUGGAGUCUGCAACUCGACUCCAUGAAGUCGGAAUCGCUAGUAAUCGCGGAUCAGCACGCCGCGGUGAAUACGUUCCCGGGCCUU